rnacentral:rRNA from 1 species
UGAUUUCAGUGGCAAACGGGUGAGUAACACGUGGGUAAUCUACCCUUAAGAAGGGGAUAACCCCGCGAAAGCGGAGCUAAUACCUUAUAAGACCACAUUCCGAUAACGGAAAGAGGUUAAAGCUCCGAUGUAAAUCGGAGUGCUUAAGGACGAGCCCGCGGCUGAUUAGCUAGUUGGUGAGGUAAUGGCCCACCAAGGCGACGAUCAGUAGCUGGCCUGAAAGGGCGAACAGCCACACUGGAACUGUGACACGGUCCAGACUCCUACGGGAGGCAGCAGUGAGGAAUUUUCCGCAAUGCCCGAGAGGGUGACGGAGCAACGCCGCGUGAAUGAUGAAGACCUUCGGGUUGUAAAGUUCUGUCAGAGGGGAAGAGGCGCUCCGACGUUACGUCGGAGCUGACGGUACCCUCAGAGGAAGUCCCGGCUAACUACGUGCCAGCAGCCGCGGUAAUACGUAGGGGGCAAGCGUUGUUCGGAAUUACUAGGCGUAAAGGGUGUGCAGGUGUCCUGACAAGCCCCGACUGAAAUCCUUCAGCUUAACUGAAGGACUGGUCGGGGAACUAUCAGGAUUGAGUAUAGGAGAGGAAAACGGAAUUCCCGGUGUAGCGGUGAAAUGCGUAGAUAUCGGGAGGAACACCAGUGGCGAAAGCGGUUUUCUGGCCUAAAACUGACGCUGAGACACGAAAGCUAGGGGAGCAAACAGGAUUAGAUACCCUGGUAGUCCUAGCCGUAAACGAUGGACAUUAGGUGUAGGGGCGUAUGCCUCUGUGCCGCAGCUAACGCAUUAAAUGUCCCGCCUGGGGAGUACGGCCGCAAGGUUGAAACUCAAAGGAAUUGACGGGGGCCCGCACAAGCGGUGGAGCAUGUGGUUCAAUUCGACGCAACGCGAAGAACCUUACCUGGGCUUGACAUUCAUCAAGUAGCGACCUGAAAGGGAAGCGACCCGUAAAGUCGGGAAGGUGAACAGGUGCUGCAUGGCUGUCGUCAGCUCGUGUCGUGAGAUGUUGGGUUAAGUCCCGCAACGAGCGCAACCCUUAUCCUUAGUUACUAAUUCCGAUUUAUCGGGAAGAACUCUAAGGAAACUGCCCCAGAUAAUGGGGUGGAAGGUGGGGAUGACGUCAAGUCCUCAUGGCCUUUAUGCCCAGGGCCACACACGUGCUACAAUGGCUAUUACAAAGGGCAGCAAAGCCGCAAGGUGGAGCUAAUCCCAAAAAAAUAGCCUCAGUUCGGAUUGAGGGCUGCAAUUCGUCCUCAUGAAGUCGGAAUCGCUAGUAAUCGCGUAUCAGCCACGACGCGGUGAAUACGUUCCCGGGCCUUGUACACACCGCCCGUCACACUAUGGAAGCCCGUUGUACCAGAAGAGGCCAAUCCAACCCGUAAGG